ACUACGGGUGGCAGCAGUGGGGGAUAUUGCACAAUGGGGGGAACCCUGAUGCAGCGACGCCGCGUGGGUGAAGAAGCGCCUCGGCGCGUAAAGCCCUGUCAGCAGGGAAGAAAAUGACGGUACCUGAAGAAGAAGCCCCGGCUAACUACGUGCCAGCAGCCGCGGUAAUACGUAGGGGGCAAGCGUUAUCCGGAUUUACUGGGUGUAAAGGGGGCGCAGACGGCGGUGCAAGCCAGGAGUGAAAGCCCGGGGCCCAACCCCGGGACUGCUCUUGGAACUGCGUGGCUGGAGUGCAGGAGGGGCAGGCGGAAUGCCUGGUGUAGCGGUGAAAUGCGUAGAUAUCAGGAGGAACACCGGUGGCGAAGGCGGCCUGCUGGACUGCAACUGACGUUGAGGCCCGAAAGCGUGGGGAGCAAACAGGAUUAGAUACCCGGGUAGUC
rnacentral:rRNA from 1 species